UACAGAGGGGGCAAGCGUUGUUCGGAAUUACUGGGCGUAAAGGGCGCGUAGGCGGCCUUCUAAGUCAGACGUGAAAUCCCUCGGCUCAACCGGGGAACUGCGUCUGAGACUGGAAGGCUUGAAUCCGGGAGAGGGAUGUGGAAUUCCAGGUGUAGCGGUGAAAUGCGUAGAUAUCUGGAGGAACACCGGUGGCGAAGGCGGCAUCCUGGACCAAUACUGACGCUGAGGAGCGAAAGCCAGGGGAGCAAACGGG
rnacentral:rRNA from 1 species